CAGCCAUUCGAGUUUCAUAAACCAGAAAUCCCAGGUUUAUCUACAAUAAGAAUCCUAGGCCGGUCAGGGCAUAUUUCUGUCGCAAUGACGGCUAACACAGUAGGAGAAUCAAUUUUGCCUGCUUGCUGCGUUGAGAAGCCCUCUGCAGUUUCUUUCCCGGAACCAGCGGACACAUUUUCACAUGGUGGCCACCAGGUGGCAGCAGAAAGAAUGUAUUCAUCAGCGUGAUGCAACUGUGGGAAUAGAUGGGGAUACUGAAUAUGUCAGUUCCUGCACAAACCAUUAAAAAACUCUCUUCGUAGUUCCUUCUUCUGAAAAUUAGUGCUUUGUGAUAUCUAGGUGAAUCUGCAAAUAGACCAGAUUGGUCACCACUCUUCCAGUACCUUUCAGCACAGCAAAUCUGAUGCAACUCUCCUGAAACUGUACAGGAACUUCUUUCUCCUGUCACUGUGUGAAGAAGGAUGCAUUUUCUUCCUCUUCUGCCAUGAUUGUAAGUUUCCUGAGGCCUCCCCAG